GACAGAGGUGCCGAGCGUUAGGCGGAAUCACUGGGCGUAAAGGGCGCGUAGGCGGCUCAUGAAGGCUGUGGUGAAAGUCCGGGGCUCAACCUCGGAUCGGCCGUGGCGACUCGUGGGCUGGAGCACUGUAGAGGCGGGUGGAAUUCCGGGUGUAGCGGUGGAAUGCGUAGAGAUCCGGAAGAACACCGGUGGCGAAGGCGGUCUGCUGGGCCAAGACUGACGCUGAGGCGCGACAGCGUGGGGAGCAAACAGG
rnacentral:rRNA from 1 species